GGGGAUGUUUUGGCCUCGAUAGGAUAUUGCGGAAACGGAUGCGGGUCGAGGCGGCUCCGCCCUCGUAAAUAUCCAGAGCAACCAACAAGUGCAAACUUGUUUAACCAACCAGCUCUCGCAUACGCUUAAGUGUGCGUGAGUCUGCCCUGCGAAGCUUUGGCGGAGUAGGGCCAUCGCGCCCCUGAUGUUCGAUAGGGGGAGUGCCCUAAACCCUCACGGGUCGGGCGAGCGGUGUCCACCAUCGAACUCGACCGAACGCUCGUCGUGGCGUACGGUUCAAAAUUGAGCGACAACCGUGAUUCCUCUUUUGCCUUUCUUUGAGGGAAUCACGUACCCAAAAAGGCUACGCCUGUAGAAACUCGUCUCCAACCAUCCUACACGCGGGUUCGACUCCCGCCAUCUCCACAA
rnacentral:tmRNA from 1 species